rnacentral:lncRNA from 1 species
AGGCUCCCACCUGGCAGCUGGGAUAGAAAAGUGAGAGGCAGUGGGUCAGGUGGUGACAGCUUCUUCCAGGGCAGGUGGGCUGUGGCUUGAGCACUCACUGAAGACAACCACUUAAGCUCUCUGUGAAACAGCAGCAUCUCAGCUGUGACUUCUGCAAAGAGCUGUGUUGAGGAGUGGAGUGUGGUGACAGCCAGGCUACUCCAGCACCGUACAUGCAGCAUUGGAGCUGGGAUGGCAGCUCUUUCUGUAAAAUAACUCCUUGUUGUGGCAUCAGAGACCUGAAAAAUCUGACUCCAGAUUCAGGAGUUCCAGAAGCUGAAUCCCUCAAAUCCUGAUGAUCUACUUCAUCGUGUCUUGGAAGCCAGGCCACGUUUCUUUGCUAGAGACUUAAUUUGUCUCGCAGCACUGUCUUCGCCAUAUACCGAAAGUCUGUUUUGAGAAAAAAAAUGUGGCAAUAUAAUAUGAACACACAGAGGCUCCUAAAGCUGUCCUUCCUUAAGGUCUCCUAAAAAUUGUACAUGUUUAGCAAAGGGAGGGAGGGGGAGUUUCAUGAGCUG